rnacentral:rRNA from 1 species
GUGUCAGCAGCCGCGGUAAUACAGAGGAGCCAAGCGUUGUCCGGAUUGACUGGGCGUAAAGGGUGUGUAGGUGGCGCCGUAAGUCGGGUGUGAAAUCUCGGGGCUUAACCCCGAAACUGCACUUGAUACUGCGGUGCUCGAGUACUGGAGAGGAGAUUGGAAUUUACGGUGUAGCAGUGAAAUGCGUAGAUAUCGUAAGGAAGACAAGUGGCGAAGGCGAAUCUCUGGACAGUUACUGACACUGAGGCACGAAGGCCAGGGGAGCAAACAGGAUUAGAUACCCUGGUAGUCC